rnacentral:rRNA from 1 species
AACAAACGCUGGCGGCGUGCCUAAUACAUGCAAGUCGAACGGGGAAAGUAGCAAUACGAGUACUAGUGGCGCACGGGUGAGGAAUACAUGGGUAAUCUGCCCUCGAGCUCGGGAUAACCAGUCGAAAGACUGGCUAAUACCGGAUAUGACCACAAGAUCUGAGGAUCAAGGGGUAAAAGGUUUUUCGCUUGAGGAUGAGCCCAUGUGGGAUUAGCUAGUUGGUGUAGGUAACGGCUCACCAAGGCGACGAUCCCUAACUGGUCUUAGAGGAUGAUCAGUCACACUGGAACUGAGACACGGUCCAGACUCCUACGGGAGGCAGCAGUAGGGAAUAUUGCACAAUGGAGGAAACUCUGAUGCAGCGACGCCGCGUGAGUGAUGAAGGCCUUCGGGUCGUAAAGCUCUGUCGUAUGGGACGUAACAAAAUGAAGGUACCGAUGCAAGAAAGGAUACGGCUAAC